rnacentral:rRNA from 1 species
CAGUAGCCGCGGUAAUACGUAGGGUGCGAGCGUUAAUCGGAAUUACUGGGCGUAAAGCGUGCGCAGGCGGUUGUGUAAGACGGGUGUGAAAUCCCCGGGCUUAACCUGGGAACUGCGCUUGUGACUGCACAGCUAGAGUAUGGCAGAAGGGGGUGGAAUUCCACGUGUAGCAGUGAAAUGCGUAGAGAUGUGGAGGAACACCGAUGGCGAAGGCAGCCCCCUGGGCCAAUACUGACGCUCAUGCACGAAAGUGUGGGGAGCAAACAGGAUUAGAUACCCCCGUAGUCCCUGUCUCUCAUAC